AUCUUUCAGCUUAUUUACAUUUCAUUUAAUUUUUCAACAAUGAUUCACAGACUUCAAGUAAAUACAUUUGUAUUUCUCUUGUUAAAUUUAUAUUUUUGUUAUUUUUACUAGAGACCUUCUAGUAAUAAAGUGCUACAGUAUGUCUUUAUACAGACUAUGAAUGCAUAACAGAUAUUUCUGUACUUUUAUAUUUUAUCACUUUCAUUUAAAAAUGUUGUUUAGGUCUACAUACAAUUCUUAGAUAACAGGUUAUAGUACUUUUGGUAUACUCUCCCUCUACCUUCUGAACUUAAUUUCUGAUUUUCAUCUUAUUGAAGGUUCCUUUGUAUUAGAAAGAUACCUUUGUUGUGUAACUUUGAGUUUGGAAACACACAGAGGGGAGUGGGAGACUGUCUUUGCAUUCAGCAUUUAAACUAAUACACAUUAAGUUAUGGAUCUCUAAGUUUACUUUGAAUUAAUUGAUGGGUUUUUUAUUUAGCAUCAUUAAUUUUUCUUUCUGUUAGAAUUAUAUAAUCUCUAUUGACCUAUCUUCAAAAUGUUAGUUCUACAGUACAAAUUUGUUGUAUCACUCUAGUAAAUUUUCAUGGUUCAUGGCACUUUUUCUGUAGAACUUAUACAUGCUUAUUUUUAUUUAUUGAUAUACUGUAAUUUAAAGCAUUGUAAUUGAAACUUCUUUUAUUUAACUAGGCACAUUCCCUUUAGUUAAAUUGCUAUCUGUUGAAUUCAAAUUCAAAAAUGCUGCUUCUCAGAGGAAGUUUCCAUUGCCAGUAUUUUCUCCUGUGGAUUUCUGCAUGCGUCACAUGGUUUGAGGCAUUCUAAAACUCACAGCUUUUAUCUGUAUUAGACGUUCGGAAACACAGAUGUUAAAUGGGCAUGAACUUAUUUGGUCUUGAAGAAGCAGAGCUUCAGCAUGGACAAAAAGAAGCAAUUAAAUUCUGGAAUAUUUAUGAGGUAAAAUCAAUAGAACUUGUGAUUUAUCAGAUAUGGUGAGGGAUAAGGGAAAAGAAGAUCAACUGAGAUGUGUAGUUUAGGCAAUAGAAUAAAUGUUGUAGUAACGAACA
rnacentral:lncRNA from 1 species